GUGCUCACUUUGGCUGCACGUAUACUAAAACUGGAAUGAUAAAGAGAUUAGCAUGGCCCUGUGCAAGAAUGACAUACAAAUUUGUGAAGAAUUCAAAAAUUUU